CGUCGAGGUGGCCGACGGGUCGAAGCCGGAGGUCUGCGAGACCUGGACGGCCGGGUUCCACUCCUGCACCGGCGC
rnacentral:tRNA from 1 species